GCUGGCGGCGUGCUUAACACAUGCAAGUCGAACGGAGAUUCAGCAAUGGAUCUUAGUGGCGAACGGGUGAGUAACGCGUAGGCAAUCUGCCUUCUAGAUGGGGACAACAUCCCGAAAGGGGUGCUAAUACCGAAUGUUGUAGUUGGUUCGCAUGGACUAGCUACUAAAGGUGGCCUCUGAAUAUGCUACCGCUAGAAGAUGAGCCUGCGUCUGAUUAGCUAGUUGGAGGGGUAACGGCCCACCAAGGCUUCGAUCAGUAGCCGGUCUGAGAGGAUGAACGGCCACACUGGGACUGAGACACGGCCCAGACUCCUACGGGAGGCAGCAGUGGGGAAUCUUCCGCAAUGGACGAAAGUCUGACGGAGCAACGCCGCGUGAAGUGAAGAAGGUUUUCGGAUCGUAAAGCUCUUUCGUCAGGGACGAACGUAUUUCUUGUAAAUAAUGAGAGAUAGUGACGGUACCUGAAUAAGAAGCCACGGCUAACUACGUGCCAGCCGCCGC
rnacentral:rRNA from 1 species